UACGUAGGAGGCAAGCGUUGUCCGGAAUCACUGGGCGUAAAGCGCGUGUAGGCGGAUCGCUAAGUCUGUGGUGAAAGCGCCUGGCUUAACCGGGCGAGGUCCAUGGAAACUAGCGGUCUGGAGGCCGGUAGAGGGGGGUGGAAUUCCGGGUGUAGUGGUGAAAUGCGUAGAGAUCGGGAAGAACAUCGGUGGCGAAAGCGCUCUACUGGACCGCAACUGACACUCAGGGACGAAAGCUAGGGGAGCGAAUGGG
rnacentral:rRNA from 1 species